rnacentral:rRNA from 1 species
CGUAGGUGGCAAGCGUUGUCCGGAAUUAUUGGGCGUAAAGCGCGCGCAGGCGGUCCUUUAAGUCUGAUGUGAAAGCCCACGGCUCAACCGUGGAGGGUCAUUGGAAACUGGGGGACUUGAGUACAGAAGAGAAGAGUGGAAUUCCACGUGUAGCGGUGAAAUGCGCAGAGAUGUGGAGGAACACCAGUGGCGAAGGCGACUCUUUGGUCUGUAACUGACGCUGAGGCGCGAAAGCGUGGGGAGCAAACAGGAUUAGAUACCCUGGUAGUCCACGCUGUAAACGAUGAGUGCUAAGUGUUAGAGGGUUUCCGCCCUUUAGUGCUGCAGCUAACGCAUUAAGCACUCCGCCUGGGGAGUACGGCCGCAAGGCUG